rnacentral:tRNA from 1 species
GGGAUUGUGGCUCAGUGGUAGAGCGCUCACCUAGCCUGGGUGCGACCUGGGUUCGAUUCUCAGCACCA